CUCCGGGACCCCGCGCCCGCCCGCCCCGCAGUGCCGGGGGAGCAGCGCCGGCAGCGGAGCCGCUCUCGCUCGCCCCGGGAGGAUGCCUCAGCACUUUGUGCGUUCCGCGCUUCCAGCAGAAGGGAAGCUAAUUCCUCCGCUGAGGGCCUCAAUCAGGCAUUUAUUUGACACUCAUGAUGCAUGAACGGCUAAACGCUCGUCUGAGCGGGGGAUCAGCCGCUGCUUUAUAGCCCGCGAGUUUUUUGAUGCAGAACGGGAGCCUGAAAAGCAGGGGACGGAGGAUGAAUCUCAACUCGGCUCCCGACGACGGAACGGGGAUCGGAACGCGUUACGGAUAAAUCGGAGCGCCGCCGUAGGUCACGACGCGACGAUAGGACGGUGCGGGAAUCUCGGGACGGGCAGAGGGCCGGCGGCUGCCCGCAGAGCGGCAACGUGAGGCCCGGAGGAAGCACGCUGCUGCCGUGCGAAAUGCGGACCAUGUGUGGGAGCGAUGUGCCCGGCGGCACACGGCGGCGAAGGACGGGGCAGGGCAGGGCCGGGCCCCUCUGCUGUGUGCCGCCGUCCCGGGGUCGUACGGCACAGCCGGCGCGAUACCGACUUAUGGCCGUGCGCCGUUCCCGUGAUGGUCGGGAUCCUUUCGGUCUGAGGCUUUCGCGACGUGCUUUGUGUUCGCCCACCUCGAGGCUCUGCGGGCAAAGGGUUAAAUCUUCGGAGGGCUGGAAGGAAGCAGCCGAGUUUCAGCAAAGAAGAAAAAAAAAAAGGAAAAUAAAGAAAGGUGGAGGAGAAGAAAGGAGUGGGAGCGGGGAGAGGCGAGGGCCGCACGAUGCCCUGAUCAUCCCUCUGGCUGCCGGAGAAUAAUAAUUAAUCCCAAUCGUAACCCGCGGCCUUUCUCUCCUAUUGGGCUCCGCCAGGAAGCGCCUCCGGCCCUGGGGCUCUCCGUUCCCUCUCCGCCCCCCCCUCCCCGUCCUUUCCUCGGGCAGAGAGAGGAGAAAGGGCCGCGCUGCCCACCGCCGCCCGCGCUCCUCCGAUCGCCGCGCACAGCUGUGGCAGCGCGGUGCCUCUUCCAGCGCUCGCUCCUCUCUCCCG
ensembl:lncRNA